UCAAGUAAUUAAGUGCAUGUGGUGGAUGCCUUGGCAGUCAGAGGCGAUGAAAGACGUGAUAGCCUGCGAAAAGCUCCGGGGAGGCGGCAAAUAUCCUUUGAUCCGGAGAUGUCUGAAUGGGGGAACCCACCUACUUUAAGGUAGGUAUUGCAACAUGAAUACAUAGUGUUGCAAGGCGAACGAGGGGAAGUGAAACAUCUCAGUACCCUUAGGAAAAGAAAUCAAUUGAGAUUCCCUCAGUAGCGGCGAGCGAACGGGGAUCAGCCCAUUAAGUUAUGUGUGUUUUAGUGGAACGCUCUGGGAAGUGCGAACGUAGAGGGUGAUAUUCCCGUACACGAAAGGGCACACAUAAUGAUGACGAGUAGGGCGAGGCACGUGAAACCUUGUCUGAAUAUGGGGGGACCAUCCUCCAAGGCUAAAUACUCCUGACUGACCGAUAGUGAACCAGUACCGUGAGGGAAAGGCGAAAAGAACCCCUGUGAGGGGAGUGAAAUAGAUCCUGAAACCGCAUGCAUACAAGCAGUGGGAGCACCUUCGUGGUGUGACUGCGUACCUUUUGUAUAAUGGGUCAGCGACUUAUAUUCAGUAGCGAGGUUAACCGUAUAGGGGAGCCGUAGAGAAAUCGAGUCUUAAUAGGGCGUUUAGUUGCUGGGUAUAGACCCGAAACCAGGCGAUCUAUCCAUGAGCAGGUUGAAGGUUGGGUAACACUAACUGGAGGACCGAACCCACUGUCGUUGAAAAGCCAGGGGAUGACUUGUGGAUAGGGGUGAAAGGCUAAUCAAGCCUGGUGAUAGCUGGUUCUCCCCGAAAGCUAUUUAGGUAGCGCCUCGGACGAAUACCAUAGGGGGUAGAGCACUGUUUCGGCUAGGGGGUCAUCCCGACUUACCAAACCGAUGCAAACUCCGAAUACCUAUGAGUACUAUCCGGGAGACAGACUGCGGGUGCUAACGUCCGUAGUCAAGAGGAAAACAAUCCAGACCGCCAGCUAAGGCCCCAAAAUCAUAGUUAAGUGGGAAACGAUGUGGGAAGGCAUAGACAGCUAGGAGGUUGGCUUAGAAGCAGCCACCCUUUAAAGAAAGCGUAAUAGCUCACUAGUCGAGUCGGCCUGCGCGGAAGAUGUAACGGGGCUAAAACUAUGUGCCGAAGCUGCGGAUGUAUACUUUGUAUACGUGGUAGGGGAGCGUUCUGUAAGCCGAUGAAGGUGUGUUGAGAAGCAUGCUGGAGGUAUCAGAAGUGCGAAUGCUGACGUGAGUAACGACAAAACGGGUGAAAAACCCGUUCGCCGAAAGACCAAGGGUUCCAGUCCAACGUUAAUCGGGGCUGGGUGAGUCGACCCCUAAGGCGAGGCCGAAAGGCGUAGUCGAUGGGAAAAUGGUUAAUAUUCCAUUACUUCUGUGUAAUGCGAUGAGAGGACG
rnacentral:rRNA from 1 species